rnacentral:tRNA from 1 species
CGGGGUGUGGCGCAGUCUGGUAGCGCGCCUGGUUUGGGUCCAGGAGGCCGGGAGUUCGAAUCUCUCCACCCCGACCA